AAUUAAUGAACUUGAAAUCUUAAAAGUAUUUGUUUUGAAAACUUAAAAAAGAAAUAAUAAUUUCUAUUAAUUU
rnacentral:tRNA from 1 species